rnacentral:rRNA from 1 species
UACGUAGGGUGCAAGCGUUGUCCGGAAUUAUUGGGCGUAAAGAGCUCGUAGGCGGUCUGUCGCGUCGGCUGUGAAAACCCGGAGCUCAACUCCGGGCCUGCAGUCGAUACGGGCAGACUGGAGUUCGGCAGGGGAGACUGGAAUUCCUGGUGUAGCGGUGAAAUUCGUAGAUAUCAGGAGGAACACCAGUGGCGAAGGCGGCUUUCUGGACGAUUACUGACGUGAGACGCGAAAGCGUGGGGAGCAAACAGG